UAUACACGGCCCCUCCUCAAACUCUCUAGAAAUUUAUCUCAUUCAACACACUCUAUCUCACACUUAACCAACUCGUCGGUGAUUCCCAUCCAUAGGUCACUGUUCGACGCCAUCCGAGUGAUAGUUUCGCUACAAUUCUUGUCCUUGUUAGUGAUGCUCCACCUUUGAGAUCUACAAGUCACACGUGUGCGAAGUCCUUUCGUCGUUCAUCCUAGCCGCCAAUUUUAUUCCAUUGCGCUGGUUGUCGAGCAGUAGCGUGUUGUCGGGUGUCGAGUCCACGUUCCUAUAUGUAUCAUAUUGCGUUCUUGGAAGGACUAAGUUUUGGUUACACUAGCAAUUUGAGUGAAUAAUGGGAUGUUUUACACAAACUUGGUUCAAGUUAAACAAGCCGUUAUCUGCUGUCCAGCACAGUCUAGAUGAUUUCGACAAGUUUUUGGUGUCGAAGUUAGAAGGGCGCUAGAGCGUUGCCGAUUGAAGUUAAGGCUAUUCCUACGCUUUUGGCUACGUGAAUAUGUUUCCAUAGCACCACCUAUGGUUGUUAGGGAAUUUCGGAGCUGAAAGAGGCCAUGAGCAGAGAUCCGAGAACCUGAGCAGGUGAGGACUUGGAUGGAGGAUUGUGAUUUGGCUUCAGACCUAACUUAACCCAUGGUUGGUGGCUCUAUGUGUACAUAAGAGCGUGAAUAUGGAGGUUGCUAUUGUGGUAGGUACUAAAUAUGCAUGAGCUUAGUCUGGCCGUGUGUUUUCUUGUAGACAUGGAUCAUGCGUGAGCUAUUGUCAUAUGUGUAUUUAGUAUUCUACCAUGGUUGGUUGGAUGGAGGUUGCUACUACGACAGGUACUGCGUGAGCUCAGUAUGGCCGCGUGUUCCUUGUGGAUAUGGAUCGCAUGUGAGCUAUUCUCGAUCGCGUAUUUAGUACUCUACCAUGGUUGGUUGGAUGAAGGUUGCGAUUGUGGUAGGUACUAAAUGUGCGUGAGCUUAGUUUGGCCGCAUGAUUCCUUGAUCAUGUGUGAGCUAUUCUCGACCGUAUAUUUGGACGCUCUACUAUGCUAGACCCUUAUAUGGUACAAGUUUGUUGGAAAAUACUUGUGAUUUAUAGUAAUAUGUGAUGAUAACAAGUUAUUGUUUCAUUACCGAUCCAUCUUUAAACAUUCUUGAGAGCAUGUUUUACGAGUUUUA